GACACAGCACUUCUUCCCUCUGCCCUAGCGUCGGUCGUCCGAUCCACUGCCACCUCUGACCACGACAAGAGUUAGCCAGCAAGUGCCGAGCUUCCUCUCGCGUUUCCGCCCAAGAUCCCUUCAGCGGAAUCCCUCUCCCUGUUCCACCGAUGUACAUUCCUCUUCGCCGAAUUUGGAAUCGCUGCUAUCAGACCCCCUUCUUGGUCCAUAGGAGGCAUGACUACUGUUGAUCCACUCCGAUGCUGGCAUCUUUCAUGCACGAGCAGGAGGGAUCUAUGCCUUGUCCAAUUUUGGGUGAGGAUGACAACAGAGCAUUGCCAUCUCUGUGGAUUCAAUGAGAGCUCCAACUCCUUACAACUGCACUUGAGGUCUUUGAGAGCAACUAUGAAUCUGAGUGGGAAGCCCCAUUUCCUUCAUAAUGACUUCGGAUCUCUUCAUCGAAGGUUGCAGAUCAGUUUUGGGAACUUGGGUUCGAGAUGAGCGUCUACACAUGAGGUCACUUGACAUGAUCUACGUAUAAAGGCAGACACUUCUUACUUUAUCUCUUUAGUUCUUUGAACUUGGUGCAUGAGCUAUUUUUGGAUAAGGACUGUUUUAGCUUGACUCCACUCUUAUUUUUCCUACGUUUGAUACUUCCACUCGAUCUUUGAGAUAUUUAUUUCUAUAUCUAUACAGUCUCUCGUUGUUAUCCAUGAUGCAUAGCAGAUAUGAGAUACCAUGUUUGUAUGUUUGAUUGUUGUUUACUUAUGUACCGUAUUGAGCAUGUUGGUUUCAUGUAACAUACCUAAUUUCUACUUAUAUUUGUAUGAUGGCUAUUGCAUCUUGCGCAUCAUAUCAUUGCAUAUAUGUUAACGACAAAUUCUCCCUUGCGGUCGAGAGAGUCAUUAACCAGGGUCGCACGCUCGACCACUCGAGAGAGUGGUAGCUGGAGCAGAUGCCGCUUGUCCUGUCGUGCCGCACUCGGCUACUCAUAGGUAGUGGUAGUUGUAGUUGCGAGCAGCAGGGAUCCCCGUCGCAGACAUAGCUAGUUAGCUACUAUGCAACUGUCCCCUCGGCCACUCGAGAGAGUGGUAGCUGGAGUAGUGUACAGUCUGUCACUGACCCAACCUCUUGACCAUACAGGGGUCAUGGUGCAGAGGGGUGGGCGGGAGUGACCAUCCGUGCAUACACUGUUUGUUAUUAUACUUGCUUUGGCUGCUACUGUUUACAUAUGCUAUUAUUGUUUAUUUAUGCUGCCAUUACUUACUACUGUUGUUCACUUAUGCUGAUAUGCUUACUUAUGUUGAGAUAUACUCUCAUUGUAGAUGUUUAGACAUUGGUUUAUUUAUUGGAAAUUUGUAUAGACCUUGCUUAUUACCUUUGUAGUUAUGAGUAACUUUGUAGCAGAGUUGUUCUACUCCUGAUUUUACUAGCCUAGGAUAUGGUUUCAGGUAUGAGCAUUCAUUAUGAUUUUAUUUUAGUAUCUAAUAUUUCUUUUAUGAGACUGUAUACUGUUGGCACUUUCUAUUUGGAUAUUAUGUUCAUGCACUAUCUUUCCUUUACCCGCUGAGUUCCAAUACUCACCACCUCACAAAUUGAUUUUUUCUUUCGUCGGGUAGCAGAUAGACAAGUCAUGGAUGCUUGGAGAGAUGCUGCCUGCCAGUCCUGUGUCAUAUCCGAGGAAUGAUUUUGGUUUUGUUUCUCUUUACUUGCAUUUUGUAUUCGUUGGAUUUGGUGCUAUGAGAACUAACUAUAUUUUGAUACUUGUUUUAUGGACUUUGUAUCUGUGAUGUUUUGUGGACUUUGCAUUUGUGGGGUUUCUUUCCGUUA